rnacentral:rRNA from 1 species
AUUGAACGCUGGCGGCAUGCCUUACACAUGCAAGUCGAACGGUAACGCGGGGCAACCUGGCGACGAGUGGCGAACGGGUGAGUAAUGCAUCGGAACGUGCCUGGUAGUGGGGGAUAACUGCUCGAAAGAGCAGCUAAUACCGCAUACGACCUGAGGGUGAAAGGGGGGGAUCGCAAGACCUCUCGCUAUCAGAGCGGCCGAUGUCGGAUUAGCUAGUUGGUGGGGUAAAGGCCCACCAAGGCAACGAUCCGUAGCUGGUCUGAGAGGACGACCAGCCACACUGGGACUGAGACACGGCCCAGACUCCUACGGGAGGCAGCAGUGGGGAAUUUUGGACAAUGGACGCAAGUCUGAUCCAGCAAUGCCGCGUGCGGGAAGAAGGCCUUCGGGUUGUAAACCGCUUUUGUUAGGGAAGAAAUUCUCCGGGCUAAUACCCAGGGGGGAUGACGGUACCUAAAGAAUAAGCACCGGCUAACUACGUGCCAGCAGCCGCGGUAA